rnacentral:tRNA from 1 species
GCGGGCGUGGCGAAAUUGGCAGACGCGCCAGAUUUAGGUUCUGGUUCCCGAAAGGGAGUGAUGGUUCAAGUCCAUUCGCCCGCACCA